AUAAGCAAAAUAAGGGCGUAUGGGGGAUGCCUAGGCUCUCAGAGGCGAAGAAAGGCGUGAUAAGCUGCGAAAAGCUACGGGGAUCGGCACACACGAGUUGAUCCGUAGAUACCUGAAUGGGGCAACCCGGCAUGUUGAAGACAUGUCACUCCGAUAGGAGGGCAAACCCGCUGAACUGAAACAUCUAAGUAGGCGGAGGAGAAGAAAACAAAAGUGAUUCCGUAAGUAGUGGCGAGCGAACGCGGAUUAGCCCAAACCAAUGUUGUUACGGCAAUAUUGGGGUUGUAGGACCACGACAUUUUAUGCAAACUGAACCGGAAGGACCUGGAAAGGUCCGCCAUAGAGGGUGAUAGCCCCGUAUGGGUAAGGGAUGUAAUAGAUAGUGGUAUCCUGAGUAGGGCGGGGCACGUGAAACCCUGUCUGAAUCUGGCGGGACCAUCCGCUAAGGCUAAAUACUCCUGAGAGACCGAUAGUGAACCAGUACCGUGAGGGAAAGGUGAAAAGAACCGUGAAUAACGGAGUGAAACAGAUCCUGAAACCAUACGCCUACAAGCGGUCGGAGCAUCCAAGUGGUGUGACGGCGUGCCUUUUGCAUAAUGAGCCUACGAGUUAACGUUGCCGGCAAGGAUAAGCUAUUAAGUAGUGGAUCCGUAGCGAAAGCGAGUCUGAAUAGGGCGCUUUAGUCGGUAGUGUUAGACGCGAAACCGUGUGAUCUACCCAUGGGCAGGAUGAAGCUGUGGUAACACACAGUGGAGGUCCGAACCGGUUGACGUUGAAAAGUCUUCGGAUGACCUGUGGGUAGGGGUGAAAGGCCAAUCAAACUCGGAAAUAGCUCGUACUCCCCGAAAUGCAUUUAGGUGCAGCGCUGGAUAUAAGUUUAUUAGAGGUAGAGCUACUGAUUGGAUGCGGGGGCUUCACCGCCUACCAAUUCCUGACAAACUCCGAAUGCUAAUAAAUGUUUACCAGCAGUGAGGGCUUGGGUGCUAAGGUCCAAGUCCGAGAGGGAAAGAACCCAGACCAUCAGCUAAGGUCCCAAAAUCUACACUAAGUUGAAAGAACGAGGUUUGUCUGCCCAGACAGCUAGGAUGUUGGCUUGGAAGCAGCCAUUCAUUUAAAGAGUGCGUAACAGCUCACUAGUCGAGCGGACGAGCAUGGAUAAUAAUCGGGCAUAAGUGUAGUACCGAAGCUAUGGAUUCUGUAGCAAUACAGAGUGGUAGGGGAGCAUUCUAUCAGGGUAGAAGGUGUAGCGUGAGCUAUGCUGGACCGGAUAGAAAAGAAAAUGUAGGCAUAAGUAACGAUAAUGCGGGCGAGAAACCCGCACACCGAAAGACUAAGGUUUCCUCAGCUAUGCUAAUCAGCUGAGGGUUAGUCGGGUCCUAAGGCGAACCCGAAAGGGACAGUCGAUGGCCAACGGGUUAAUAUUCCCGUACUACUGAUAACUGUGAUGGGGUGACGGAGUGAUGAAAGCGCCGCGAACUGACGGAAUAGUUCGUUGAAGGUUGUAGCUAUAUUCUUUAUAGGCAAAUCCGUAGAGAAUGGCAAAGACCGAUAGUACACGGAGUCUUCGGACAAAGUGAUAGUGCGCCUAAGGGCUUCCAAGAAAAACCUCUAAACUUCAGGUUAUUAGUACCCGUACCGUAAACCGACACAGGUAGUCGAGGAGAGAAUCCUAAGGUGCUCGAGAGAUUCAUGGCUAAGGAAUUAGGCAAAAUAGACCCGUAACUUCGGGAGAAGGGUCGCCCCCAGUAAUGGGGGCCGCAGUGAAGAGGUCCAGGCGACUGUUUAUCAAAAACACAGGGCUCUGCAAAAUCGUAAGAUGAAGUAUAGGGCCUGACACCUGCCCGGUGCUGGAAGGUUAAGAGGAGAUGUUAUCUUCGGAGAAGCAUUGAAUUGAAGCCCCAGUAAACGGCGGCCGUAACUAUAACGGUCCUAAGGUAGCGAAAUUCCUUGUCGGGUAAGUUCCGACCUGCACGAAUGG
rnacentral:rRNA from 1 species